rnacentral:rRNA from 1 species
ACAGGAUUAGAUACCCUGGUAGUCCACGCCGUAAACUAUGAUCACUCGCUGUUGGCGAUACACUGUCAGCGGCUGAGCAAAAGCAUUAAGUGAUCCACCUGGGGAGUACGACCGCAAGGUUGAAACUCAAAGGAAUUGACGGGGGCCCGCACAAGCGGUGGAACAUGUGGUUCAAUUCGAUGAUACGCGAGGAACCUUACCUGGGCUUAAAUGUAGAGCGACAUUCACUGAAAAGUGAAUUUCCUUCGGGACGAUCUGCAAGGUGCUGCAUGGUUGUCGUCAGCUCGUGCCGUGAGGUGUCGGGUUAAGUCCCAUAACGAGCGCAACCCUCAUCGUUAGUUGCCAUCGGAUAUUGCCGGGGACUCUAACGAAACUGCCGGUGUAAACCGUGAGGAAGGUGGGGAUGACGUCAAAUCAGCACGGCCCUUAUGUCCAGGGCUACACACGUGUUACAAUGGCCAGUACAAAGGGCAGCUACCUGGUGACAGGAUGCAAAUCUCUAAAACUGGUCACAGUUCGGAUUGAAGUCUGCAACUCGACUUCAUGAAGCUGGAAUCGCUAGUAAUCGCGCAUCAGCCACGGCGCGGUGAAUACGUUCCCGGGCCUUGUACACACCGCCCGU